UGGGGAAUAUUGGACAAUGGGCGAAAGCCUGAUCCAGCUAUGCCGCGUGUGUGAAGAAGGUCUUCGGAUUGUAAAGCACUUUAAGUUGGGAGGAAGGGCAGUAAGCGAAUACCUUGCUGUUUUGACGUUACCGACAGAAUAAGCACCGGCUAACUCUGUGCCAGCAGCCGCGGUAAUACAGAGGGUGCAAGCGUUAAUCGGAAUUACUGGGCGUAAAGCGCGCGUAGGUGGUUCGUUAAGUUGAAUGUGAAAGCCCCGGGCUCAACCUGGGAACUGCAUCCAAAACUGGCGAGCUAGAGUAGGGCAGAGGGUGGUGGAAUUUCCUGUGUAGCGGAGAAAUGCGUAGAUAUAGGAAGGAACACCAGUGGCGAAGGCGACCACCUGGGCUCAUACUGACACUGAGGUGCGAAAGCGUGGGGAGCAAACAGG
rnacentral:rRNA from 1 species